rnacentral:rRNA from 1 species
CAAGUCGCACGAGAACGUUUCAGCUUGCUGAAACUGUAAAGUGGCGCACGGGUGAGUAACGCGUGGGUAAUCUACCUCCGAAUUGGGGAUAACAUUGCGAAAGCGAUGCUAAUACCGAAUGACAUCUCAAUAACUCCGGUCUUUGAGAUCAAAGGUGGCCUCUCCAUGGAAGCUACUGUUUGGAGAUGAGCCCGCGUACCAUUAGCUUGUUGGUAGGGUAAUGGCCUACCAAGGCAACGAUGGUUAGCUGGUCUGAGAGGAUGAUCAGCCACACUGGAACUGACACACGGUCCAGACUCCUACGGGAGGCAGCAGUGAGGAAUUUUGCGCAAUGGGGGAAACCCUGACGCAGCAACGCCGCGUGAGUGAUGAAGGCUUUCGGGUCGUAAAGCUCUGUCAAGUGAGAAGAACCUGCCCUUUGCUAAUAUCACUGGGCACUGACGGUAUCACUGAAGGAAGCACCGGCUAACUCCGUG